UACGGGGGGGGCAAGCGUUGUUCGGAUUCAUUGGGCGUAAAGGGUGCGUAGGUGGCGCUGUAAGUCGGGUGUGAAAUUUCGGAGCUUAACUCCGAAACUGCAUUCGAUACUGCGGUGCUUGAGGACUGGAGAGGAGACUGGAAUUCAUGGUGUAGCAGUGAAAUGCGUAGAGAUCAUGAGGAAGACCAGUGGCGAAGGCGGCUCACUGGCCCGGUACUGACGCUGAGGUGCGAAAGCGUGGGGAGCAAACAGG
rnacentral:rRNA from 1 species